UACGUAGGGUGCGAGCGUUGUUCGGAAUUACUGGGCGUAAAGCGCACGUAGGCGGACUACUAAGUCAGGGGUGAAAUCCCGGGGCUCAACCCCGGAACUGCCUUUGGUACUGAGAGUCUCGAGUCCGGAAGAGGUGAGUGGAAUUCCGAGUGUAGAGGUGAAAUUCGUAGAUAUUCGGAGGAACACCAGUGGCGAAGGCGGCUCACUGGUCCGGUACUGACGCUGAGGUGCGAAAGCGUGGGGAGCAAACAGG
rnacentral:rRNA from 1 species